AAUAAAUUUAGGUAGUCUUAUGGUAGAAGAAAUCUUUAAUUAGUGGUAGGAAAUGUUGUUUUCAAGUGUAUUGAGUGAAUUGAUUGUAAUAUACUAAACAUUUGAUUUGUUCUUUGUCCCUAACUCUGAUGCAUGAGAGGAGAGAGGAGAAUGAAAGGCACCUGACGCUGGAGCGCCCAUAAGACAGAUACGAAGAUAAAUGGCUGUGCUGCAACAAGAGGGGGCUUGCGGAUGAGAGGCUCACCAGGUCCUGCUCCCAUUUGACAGGCCAGUACAGUUUUAUCUACAAACUCUUCUCCUAUGUGUCUGCUGCUACUUAGUUGUACAUACACACAUUUAUAGUGGGAACACAUUUAGUUGGGUGUAUAUAUUUAUUUGUGCUAGACAAUAAGAGCAGUAGUUUUGUGGGUAAAAAGAAAGGCUUGGCAAUAGACUGACCAGUUGAAAGGGCUGAUUAAGUACCGUAGUAUUGUUGAAUCAAAAGAGCAUUUCCAAAGGUCUAAAUUUUGCUGAAACGUGUGGAUGUGGUUUGUCAUUGCUGCUCGGUAAAAUCACACAGAUUGAUCUUUUACGGGUGUUGAUAAGUUUUAGGCCUCAGGGGAGGCUUCAUGAGAAGCACUAGGGGACAAUCGCGCCCACUCAGAGGCCCUGUAAACCCUGAUAGGGGGACAGAACCUGGAUUUUAGGGGUGCCCAGAAGACCUAAAAGGGGGGUGUCAGCUGGUAGUGUCAGGGCCAGAACAAGAGCCAACCAUUGAGGUGAAAGUGAAUGAUAAACCAUUGACAGUUAUGGCAGAUUGCGGAGCUGCUUUCACCUGUGUUGAGAAUAAUUUUAAAGUGGGGAAAAGUUUAAUAAAAAAAAUCCUGAGUACACCCCAUAAUGUCCUCAAUGAGCUGAAUUUUUGAAGCCCAGAAUAGUUUCUGUAGCUCAAAGUUUGUGGGUGGAGAUAGGUGGUGAUGCAGACACAUAUUAACUGUGUGUACAUGCAGGUCUUUUAGACAGUGUGUGUAUGGGUGCUGAGCUGUGUGUGUGAGGGCAAAAGAGUCUGUGUGCAGUGAGUGGUGUGUGCACAAAGUUGGGGAAUGGUCUAGCAUAAAUAUAAGUGAUUAACUUAUGAUAAAGUGAUGAAUGAUGUCUUAUUAAAUAUAUAAUGAUAUGAUAUAAGAAAUUCACAUAUAAGGGAAGAGAUACUGUUGCCUUUGUAGUGUUAAAAACAUAUGAGCCCUGUUUUUCUUUGUACAGGGACGUUAAUAGAAUAAGUAACUGCUAUGAGCCUCUCAGGAUAAAGAGGACGUUUGUACACCUAAUAGUAAGAAAUGAGCCCCUUAUUAGAUGAGGAGGACUUUGGAUGGUGAUAACAUCCUCGAUUAAAAUGGCAACUAAAGAAGUGUACACAAGCACAUUUGUGUUCAUACAGAUACAGGGAAAAAACAGAGUGGGGUAAAAUGAAAUGAUUUGCUAACUGAUGGGUAUGGUUUUCCUCUGUGUGUGUGUGAAUAUUUAAAGUGAAUGGUCACUUGCUGAUGAUUAUGUUUAGAGGGAAAAUCCCAGUUAAAAAUUGGAAAAAUCCAGGGAGCUUUCUCUUCUUACAGGCCUGAGAACAGAAAGAAAGCUAAAAAAUCUAGUUUAACUAUCCUAGAUGUGUGAAAAUUUUAAAUGGUAUACCAUGGUAAAGGGGAAUGGUGUAUAAUAAAUUUAGGUAGUCUUAUGGUAGAAGAAAUCUUUAAUUAGUGGUAGGAAAUGUUGUUUUCAAGUGUAUUGAGUGAAUUGAUUGUAAUAUACUAAACAUUUGAUUUGUUCUUUGUCCCUAACUCUGAUGCAUGAGAGGAGAGAGGAGAAUGAAAGGCACCUGACGCUGGAGCGCCCAUAAGACAGAUGUUGCUGUGCUGCAACAAGAGGGGGCUUGCGGAUGAGAGGCUCACCAGGUCCUGCUCCCAUUUGACAGGCCAGUACAGUUUUAUCUACAAACUCUUCUCCUAUGUGUCUGCUGCUACUUAGUUGUACAUACACACAUUUAUAGUGGGAACACAUUUAGUUGGGUGUAUAUAUUUAUUAGUGCUAGACAAUAAGAGCAGUAGUUUUGUGGGUAAAAAGAAAGGCUUGGCAAUAGACUGACCAGUUGAAAGGGCUGAUUAAGUACCGUAGUAUUGUUGAAUAAAAAGAGCAUUUCCAAGAGGUCUUAAUUUUGCUGAAACGUGUGGAUGUGGUUUGUCAUUGCUGCUUGGUAAAAUCACACAGAUUGAUCUUUUACGGGUGUUGAUAAGUUUUAGGCCUCAGGGGAGGCUUCAUGAGAAGCACUAGGGGACAAUCGCGCCCACUCAGAGGACCUGUAAACCCUGAUAGGGGGACAGAACCUGGAUUUUAGGGGUGCCCAGAAGACCUAAAAGGGGGGUGUCAGCUGGUAGUGUCAGGGCCAGAACAAGAGCCAACCAUUGAGGUGAAAGUGAAUGAUAAACCAUUGACAGUUAUGGCAGAUUGCGGAGCUGCUUUCACCUGUGUUGAGAAUAAUUUUAAAGUGGGGAAAAGUUUAAUAAAAAAAAUCCUGAGUACACCCCAUAAUGUCCUCAAUGAGCUGAAUUUUUGAAGCCCAGAAUAGUUUCUGUAGCUCAAAGUUUGUGGGUGGAGAUAGGUGGUGAUGCAGACACAUAUUAACUGUGUGUACAUGAAGUUCUUUUAGACACAGACACACACACACACACACACACACACACACACACACACACACACACACACAUUGCCACACUGUGUGUGUGUGUGUGUGUGUGGUUAAUGAUUGCAUCCUAAACAGCUGUGAGAUUAAAGGCAUUAACUGACCGACUGUUUGAAUGAGAAGCUGCCUCUGGACUUUCUCACAUAGUACGAUUUUCUUAUAACUAUAGUAAGGAAACAUUGAGCUCUGUGAGGAGAGGUGUGCUGAAGUUUGAGUGUGUCAGAGAAGCUUCUGGUGUGUGUGUGUGAGAGGAGUGUGUGUAUGGGUGCUGAGCUGUGUGUGUGAGGGCAAAAGAGUCUGUGUGCAGUGAGUGGUGUGUGCACAAAGUUGGGGAAUGGUCUAGCAUAAAUAUAAGUGAUUAACUUAUGAUAAAGUGAUGAAUGAUGUCUUAUUAAAUAUAUAAUGAUAUGAUAUAAGAAAUUCACAUAUAAGGGAAGAGAUACUGUUGCCUUUGUAGUGUUAAAAACAUAUGAGCCCUGUUUUUCUUUGUACAGGGACGUUAAUAGAAUAAGUAACUGCUAUGAGCCUCUCAGGAUAAAGAGGACGUUUGUACACCUAAUAGUAAGAAAUGAGCCCCUUAUUAGAUGAGGAGGACUUUGGAUGGUGAUAACAUCCUCGAUUAAAAUGGCAACUAAAGAAGUGUACACAAGCACAUUUGUGUUCAUACAGAUACAGGGAAAAAACAGAGUGGGGUAAAAUGAAAUGAUUUGCUAACUGAUGGGUAUGGUUUUCCUCUGUGUGUGUGUGAAUAUUUAAAGUGAAUGGUCACUUGCUGAUGAUUAUGUUUAGAGGGAAAAUCCCAGUUAAAAAUUGGAAAAAUCCAGGGAGCUUUCUCUCCCGCUUUCUUUCUCUUCUUACAGGCCUGAGAACAGAAAGAAAGCUAAAAAAUCUAGUUUAACGAUCCUAGAUGUGUGAAAAUUUUAAAUGGUAUACCAUGGUAAAGGGGAAUGGUGUAUAAUAAAUUUAGGUAGUCUUAUGGUAGAAGAAAUCUUUAAUUAGUGGUAGGAAAUGUUGUUUUCAAGUGUAUUGAGUGAAUUGAUUGUAAUAUACUAAACAUUUGAUUUGUUCUUUGUCCCUAACUCUGAUGCAUGAGAGGAGAGAGGAGAAUGAAAGGCACCUGACGCUGGAGCGCCCAUAAGACAGAUGUUGCUGUGCUGCAACAAGAGGGGGCUUGCGGAUGAGAGGCUCACCAGGUCCUGCUCCCAUUUGACAGGCCAGUACAGUUUUAUCUACAAACUCUUCUCCUAUGUGUCUGCUGCUACUUAGUUGUACAUACACACAUUUAUAGUGGGAACACAUUUAGUUGGGUGUAUAUAUUUAUUAGUGCUAGACAAUAAGAGCAGUAGUUUUGUGGGUAAAAAGAAAGGCUUGGCAAUAGACUGACCAGUUGAAAGGGCUGAUUAAGUACCGUAGUAUUGUUGAAUUAAAAGAGCAUUUCCAAAGGUCUAAAUUUUGCUGAAACGUGUGGAUGUGGUUUGUCAUUGCUGCUUGGUAAAAUCACACAGAUUGAUCUUUUACGGGUGUUGAUAAGUUUUAGGCCUCAGGGGAUGCUUCAUGAGAAGCACUAGGGGACAAUCGCGCCCACUCAGAGGACCUGUAAACCCUGAUAGGGGGACAGAACCUGGAUUUUAGGGGUGCCCAGAAGACCUAAAAGGGGGGUGUCAGCUGGUAGUGUCAGGGCCAGAACAAGAGCCAACCAUUGAGGUGAAAGUGAAUGAUAAACCAUUGACAGUUAUGGCAGAUUGCGGAGCUGCUUUCACCUGUGUUGAGAAUCAUUUUAAAGUGGGGAAAAUUUAAAAAAAAAAAUCCUUAGUACACCCCAUAAUGUCCUCAAUGAGCUGAAUUUUUGAAGCCCAGAAUAGUUUCUGUAGCUCAAAGUUUGUGGGUGGAGAUAGGUGGUGAUGCAGACACAUAUUAACUGUGUGUACAUGCAGGUCUUUUAGACAGUGUGUGUAUGGGUGCUGAGCUGUGUGUGUGAGGGCAAAAGAGUCUGUGUGCAGUGAGUGGUGUGUGCACAAAGUUGGGGAAUGGUCUAGCAUAAAUAUAAGUGAUUAACUUAUGAUAAAGUGAUAAAUGAUGUCUUAUUAAAUAUAUACUGAUAUGAUAUAAGAAAUUCACAUAUAAGGGAAGAGAUUCUGUUGCCUUUGUAGUGUUAAAAACAUAUGAGCCCUGUUUUUCUUUGUACAGGGACGUUAAUAGAAUAAGUAACUGCUAUGAGCCUCUCAGGAUAAAGAGGACGUUUGUACACCUAAUAGUAAGAAAUGAGCCCCUUAUUAGAUGAGGAGGACUUUGGAUGGUGAUAACAUCCUCGAUUAAAAUGGCAACUAAAGAAGUGUACACAAGCACAUUAGUGUUCAUACAGAUACAGGGAAAAAACAGAGUAACAGAGUGGGGUAAAAUAAAAUGAUUUUCUAACUGAUGGGUAUGGUUUUCCUCUGUGUGUGUGUGAAUAUUUAAAGUGAAUGGUCACUUGCUGAUGAUUAUGUUUAGAGGGAAAAUCCCAGUUAAAAAUUGGAAAAAUCCAUGGAGCUUUCUCUUCUUACAGGCCUGAGAACAGAAAGAAAGCUAAAAAAUCUAGUUUAACUAUCCUAGAUGUGUGAAAAUUUUAAAUGGUAUACCAUGGUAAAGGGGAAUGGUGUAUAAUAAAUUUAGGUAGUCUUAUGGUAGAAGAAAUCUUUAAUUAGUGGUAGGAAAUGUUGUUUUCAAGUGUAUUGAGUGAAUUGAUUGUAAUAUACUAAACAUUUGAUUUGUUCUUUGUCCCUAACUCUGAUGCAUGAGAGGAGAGAGGAGAAUGAAAGGCACCUGACGCUGGAGCGCCCAUAAGACAGAUGUUGCUGUGCUGCAACAAGAGGGGGCUUGCAGAUGAGAGGCUCACCAGGUCCUGCUCCCAUUUGACAGGCCAGUACAGUUUUAUCUACAAACUCUUCUCCUAUGUGUCUGCUGCUACUUAGUUGUACAUACACACAUUUAUAGUGGGAACACAUUUAGUUGGGUGUAUAUAUUUAUUAGUGCUAGACAAUAAGAGCAGUAGUUUUGUGGGUAAAAAGAAAGGCUUGGCAAUAGACUGACCAGUUGAAAGGGCUGAUUAAGUACCGUAGUAUUGUUGAAUUAAAAGAGCAUUUCCAAAGGUCUAAAUUUUGCUGAAACGUGUGGAUGUGGUUUGUCAUUGCUGCUCGGUAAAAUCACACAGAUUGAUCUUUUACGGGUGUUGAUAAGUCUUAGGCCUCAGGGGAGGCUUCAUGAGAAGCACUAGGGGACAAUCGCGCCCACUCAGAGGACCUGUAAACCCUGAUAGGGGGACAGAACCUGGAUUUUAGGGGUGCCCAGAAGACCUAAAAGGGGGGUGUCAGCUGGUAGUGUCAGGGCCAGAACAAGAGCCAACCAUUGAGGUGAAAGUGAAUGAUAAACCAUUGACAGUUAUGGCAGAUUGCGGAGCUGCUUUCACCUGUGUUGAGAAUAAUUUAAAGUGGGGAAAAGUUUAAAAAAAAAAUCCUGAGUACACCCCAUAAUGUCCUCAAUGAGCUGAAUUUUUGAAGCCCAGAAUAGUUUCUGUAGCUCAAAGUUUGUGGGUGGAGAUAGGUGAUGAUGCAGACACAUACUAACUGUGUGUACAUGCAGGUCUUUUAGACACAGACACACAUGCACACACAUUGCCAGACUGUAUGUGUGUGUGUGUGUGUGGUUAAUGAUUGCAUCCUAAACAGCUGUGAGAUUAAAGGCAUUAACUGACCGACUGUUUGAAUGAGAAGCUGCCUCUGGACUUCUUCACAUAGUACGAUUUCCUUAUAACUAUAGUAAGGAAACAUUGAGCUCUGUGAGGAGAGGUGUGCUGAAGUUUGAGUGUGUGAGAGAAGCUUCUGGUGUGUGUGUGAGAGGAGUGUGUGUAUGGGUGCUGAGCUGUGUGUGUGAGGGCAAAAGAGUCUGUGUGCAGUGAGUGGUGUGUGCACAAAGUUGGGGAAUGGUCUAGCAUAAAUAUAAGUGAUUAACUUAUGAUAAAGUGAUGAAUGAUGUCUUAUUAAAUAUAUAAUGAUAUGAUAUAAGAAAUUCACAUAUAAGGGAAGAGAUACUGUUGCCUUUGUAGUGUUAAAAACAUAUGAGCCCUGUUUUUCUUUGUACAGGGACGUUAAUAGAAUAAGUAACUGCUAUGAGCCUCUCAGGAUAAAGAGGACGUUUGUACACCUAAUAGUAAGAAAUGAGCCCCUUAUUAGAUGAGGAGGACUUUGGAUGGUGAUAACAUCCUCGAUUAAAAUGGCAACUAAAGAAGUGUACAUAAGCACAUUAGUGUUCAUAUAGAUACAGGGAAAAAACAGAGUGGGGUAAAAUGGAAUGAUUUGCUAACUGAUGGGUAUGGUUUUCCUCUGUGUGUGUGUGAAUAUUUAAAGUGAAUGGUCACUUGCUGAUGAUUAUGUUUAGAGGGAAAGUCCCAGUUAAAAAUUGGAAAAAUCCAGGGAGCUUUCUCUCCCGCUUUCUUUCUCUUCUUACAGGCCUGAGAACAGAAAGAAAGCUAAAAAAUCUAGUUUAACUAUCCUAGAUGUGUGGGAAAUUUUAAAUGGUAUACCAUGGUAAAGGGGAAUGGUGUAUAAUAAAUUUAGGUAGUCUUAUGGUAGAAGAAAUCUUUAAAUAGUGGUAGGAAAUGUUGUUUUCAAGUGUAUUGAGUGAAUUGAUUGUAAUAUACUAAACAUUUGAUUUGUUCUUUGUCCCUAACUCUGAUGCAUGAGAGGAGAGAGGAGAAUGAAAGGCACCUGACGCUGGAGCGCCCAUAAGACAGAUGUUGCUGUGCUGCAACAAGAGGGGGCUUGCGGAUGAGAGGCUCACCAGGUCCUGCUCCCAUUUGACAGGCCAGUACAGUUUUAUCUACAAACUCUUCUCCUAUGUGUCUGCUGCUACUUAGUUGUACAUACACACAUUUAUAGUGGGAACACAUUUAGUUGGGUGUAUAUAUUUAUUAGUGCUAGACAAUAAGAGCAGUAGUUUUGUGGGUAAAAAGAAAGGCUUGGCAAUAGACUGACCAGUUGAAAGGGCUGAUUAACUACCGUAGUAUUGUUGAAUCAAAAGAGCAUUUCCAAAGGUCUAAAUUUUGCUGAAACGUGUGGAUGUGGUUUGUCAUUGCUGCUCGGUAAAAUCACACAGAUUGAUCUUUUACGGGUGUUGAUAAGUUUUAGGCCUCAGGGGAGGCUUCAUGAGAAGCACUAGGGGACAAUCGCGCCCACUCAGAGGACCUGUUAACCCUGAUAGGGGGACAGAACCUGGAUUUUAGGGGUGCCCAGAAGACCUAAAAGGGGGGUGUCAGCUGGUAGUGUCAGGGCCAGAACAAGAGCCAACCAUUGAGGUGAAAGUGAAUGAUAAACCAUUGACAGUUAUGGCAGAUUGCGGAGCUGCUUUCACCUGUGUUGAGAAUAAUUUUAAAGUGGGGAAAAGUUUAAUAAAAAAAAUCCUGAGUACACCCCAUAAUGUCCUCAAUGAGCUGAAUUUUUGAAGCCCAGAAUAGUUUCUGUAGCUCAAAGUUUGUGGGUGGAGAUAGGUGGUGAUGCAGACACAUAUUAACUGUGUGUACAUGCAGGUCUUUUAGACACAGACACACACACACACACAUUGCCAGACUGUAUGUGUGUGUGUGUGUCGUUAAUGAUUGCAUCUUAAACAGCUGUGAGAUUAAAGGCAUUUACUGACCGACUGUUUGAAUGAGAAGCUGCCUCUGGACUUCCUCACAUAGUACGAUUUCCUAUAACUAUAGUAAGGAAACAUUGAGCUCUGUGAGGAGAGGUGUGCUGAAGUUUGAGUGUGUGAGAGAAGCUUCUGGUGUGUGUGUGAGAGGAGUGUGUGUAUGGGUGCUGAGCUGUGUGUGUGAGGGCAAAAGAGUCUGUGUGCAGUGAGUGGUGUGUGCACAAAGUUGGGGAAUGGUCUAGCAUAAAUAUAAGUGAUUAACUUAUGAUAAAGUGAUAAAUGAUGUCUUAUUAAAUAUAUACUGAUAUGAUAUAAGAAAUUCACAUAUAAGGGAAGAGAUUCUGUUGCCUUUGUAGUGUUAAAAACAUAUGAGCCCUGUUUUUCUUUGUACAGGGACGUUAAUAGAAUAAGUAACUGCUAUGAGCCUCUCAGGAUAAAGAGGACGUUUGUACACCUAAUAGUAAGAAAUGAGCCCCUUAUUAGAUGAGGAGGACUUUGGAUGGUGAUAACAUCCUCGAUUAAAAUGGCAACUAAAGAAGUGUACACAAGCACAUUAGUGUUCAUACAGAUACAGGGAAAAAACAGAGUAACAGAGUGGGGUAAAAUAAAAUGAUUUUCUAACUGAUGGGUAUGGUUUUCCUCUGUGUGUGUGUGAAUAUUUAAAGUGAAUGGUCACUUGCUGAUGAUUAUGUUUAGAGGGAAAAUCCCAGUUAAAAAUUGGAAAAAUCCAGGGAGCUUUCUCUCCCGCUUUCUUUCUCUUCUUACAGGCCUGAGAACAGAAAGAAAGCUAAAAAAUCUAGUUUAACGAUCCUAGAUGUGUGAAAAUUUUAAAUGGUAUACCAUGGUAAAGGGGAAUGGUGUAUAAUAAAUUUAGGUAGUCUUAUGGUAGAAGAAAUCUUUAAUUAGUGGUAGGAAAUGUUGUUUUCAAGUGUAUUGAGUGAAUUGAUUGUAAUAUACUAAACAUUUGAUUUGUUCUUUGUCCCUAACUCUGAUGCAUGAGAGGAGAGAGGAGAAUGAAAGGCACCUGACGCUGGAGCGCCCAUAAGACAGAUAAGAAGAUAAAUGGCUGUGCUGCAACAAGAGGGGGCUUGCGGAUGAGAGGCUCACCAGGUCCUGCUUGUUGAAAUAAAAGAGCAUUUCCAAAGGUCUAAAUUUUGCUGAAACGUAUGAAUGUGGUUUGUCAUUGCUGCUUGGUAAAAUCACAC